CCUACGGGGGGCUGCAGUGGGGAAUAUUGGGCAAUGGGCGCAAGCCUGACCCAGCAACGCCGCGUGAAGGAAGAAGGCUUUCGGGUUGUAAACUUCUUUUCAGAGGGAAGAGCAGAAGACGGUACCUCUUGAAUAAGCCACGGCUAACUACGUGCCAGCAGCCGCGAUAAUACGUAGGUGUCACGCGUUGUCCGGAUUUACUGGGUGUAAAGGGCGUGCAGCCGGGAAGACAAGUCAGAUGUGAAAUCCCGCGGCUCAACCGCGGAACUGCAUUUGAAACUGUUUUUCUUGAGUACCGGAGAGUUCAUCGGAAUUCCUUGUGUAGCGGUGAAAUGCGUAGAUAUUAGGAGGAACACCAGUUGCGAAGGCGGCUCUCUGGACUGUAACUGACACUGAGGCACGAAAGCGUGGGGAGCAAACAGGAUUAGAGACCCCGGUAGUC
rnacentral:rRNA from 1 species